CUGAAAUAGGUGCUUGUGUUGAUUCAGUGUAUGAAAAUAGAACAACGAACGUCACGGACUUCGAAUAUAUUCAAAGGAUUAAGUGUUCAGAAUUUAAAGUAUCCAACAUUUGAUUGACUGGAGGGGAAGUGCCCAGUAAAGGACGCUUGGAAAUAUUAACUAACACACAAUGGGGAACUGUUUGUACAUAUGCAGGAGGACUCGACGGGUAUCUGUUAAGCUCUGAAAAUAAAGACAGAAUAUGCCAGAUGUUAGGAUACUUCAACAACACGAAUAUACCAGUUCGUUUCAACGAAAGCCAACUUACAAACAAUGCGUCUUCUCCCGUCCUGAUGACACUUGAAGGCUGCUCGGAUUUAAACUCACUAGACUUUGAGAAGUAUUGUAAUGUUAUAAAAG